GGUUGGUUAGUGUAGCGGUUAUCACUCCGGAUUCUGAUUUCCUGGAUGAUCACAUUCCGGCAACCUGGGUUCGAAUCCCAGAUCGACCU